UGCGCAGGAGGGGUGCUGGCCUCCAGCUCAGCCUGGCCUUGGGAAUCCCAAUGUGCCCAUUGCCUUCCUGGUAUGGUGUUAGCCCUGCCCUGUCACUCAGGACCUGCAGAUGGACUUUCUGGCUUACCAUGGGACCUGUCACAUCGUGAUGCUGCUGCCUUAUGCAGCUCUUGGUUGGCCCUGGCUGCUGCCUCUGGGUUUGGGCGCGCAUCCACCUGUCUGGCCGGGGAUGGAGAGGAAGGCUAGCAAUGCAUUCAGUGGAGCAAGCCUUGUGGCUGCCCUUGGAGCAGCACCAGGCACUUGCCAUCACCCAGGUGUUCAGCAUCUCCUGGGCAAGGCCAAGGAGCUGCCAGCCCCGAGGGGUGCUCGGUGGCCCCCCAGGUCCCCAGUGCAGCUGAGCACAUCCCUCUGCUCUCAGCUCUGGGGCUGCUUCCACUCCUCCAAGUGUGGUGUGGGAAUGAAGUCCCUUUGGAGAAGCAGGGGGCUUUCUUUGUGUUUCCUGUUAACUGUGCAAGGUCCUGAGGCUUCCCAGCUGGAAAUGAGUGGCUCCAGCACAGGGACUGGGGGGCGCUCAGCACAGGGCAGAGUUUGGCCCCACAGGGAAGCUGCAGAAGUUAUAAAUGAGAAAUACUGAUGUGAGUUAGGGCUUUGCCUCAAGCAUUUUUGCAAUGGGUGUUUGGGCUGAGAGUUUCCACUCUUGCAAAAGUGUGAUGUCUAUAUGUGAUAUCAGCAUUUAUAAUCCCUUACUGAUAGAACUUAAACACUUUUCCCUUGCUUGGCCACUUAUAAUGGGCUGCAGUGUGACACUCUUCAGUGUCUUUUUUUUUUUUUUAAACAACAACAACAAAAGCCAACAAAGGUGUGAAAACAAGUCUCUUCUGGAAAAAUCUAAGCCUGGCACAAGUACACUUCCAGUAUUUUUGGAAAGCUGCCUGUGGGGGAAGCAGGUGUCAGCAACCAGCUCCCAGCUGGUCUUCACCUGCGGAAACAAGAAAAAAGGAGCGGGAUUAAAUACAGCCCCUGGGAAAUAAGUGCUGGAGUAUCCACCAAGAUCACACUUUCCUCUCUAAUUUACUGCCUGGGGUUUUCCUAAAGCUACAGAGGAGAGUCGAGGGCAGACCAGCACCGUGGGCAGGCCAUGCAGAGCCUGUUCCUUCCCCCAGGGACGGUCCCGGUGUGUGCCCAGAGCCCCCCAAGCUGAAGGUGAGCCCCUGUCCCUCUUCCCUCCCUCUGAACUCGGGGCAGUGAUGUGAACCAAGCAAGCAAAACCACACUGGGGACCUUCGUCACCCUGUUUUUUGCCCUGACUUGUUUCGCUUUCUGUUCCGAAUGGGGAGUGUCUGGUGCUGCGGGGCUGGGUCCCCUCCCUGCUUCGGCAGCGCCGUUCCCCAAAGCUGAGUCGAGCGCGGGGACAUCUUCCUUUGUAGGAGGGAUUUAAAGGUGUGACUGAAAUGGGAGAACAACAGGGACCUGAAGUGUUCGGCUGAUAAACAGCCCCCGAGGAAAGCAAGCAGCUGCUGGGAUCAGGCAGGUCCCUGUCUGAGCCCCGCUGGUUUCCAGGGUGAGAAACCAAAAAACCGAAGUGUCCCAGGUGGGAAACCAGCCCUGGCCAUGAAGUGGCACAAACCUUUGUUCUGCUCAAGCCUCCUGGCUGCAGAGGGCUGAGAUGUUCUCAGCAGGAAAGCAUUCACUUCAUAUCAGCAGCACGGCGACUGCCUGAUUAGGCCAGCAGUACAGAUCGAUGCAGUGGAUCCGGGUAAUUCAGACCAGCCCAAGCCUCAUUUCUAAGGCUCCGGCAGAGCUGGGUGCUCCCAAUAACAGUCCUGAUGCUGACUCCUGGAAAAAGCUGAGUCUGCAGACAGAAACACUUGCUCAGCAGGAAGAAAACCCCACCUCACCACGCCGGUCCCCAGUCCACUGGGCCGGCUCAGCUCCUCUCGCCUUCCUGACCUUUGCUAACAACUUUUCUCCUGGCAGAAAAUUACCCCCAUGCUCUUUUUCCUUGCGAUUUCCUUUAACCUCAAAUAAAUGCUGUAAGUGACCUCUGUCCUCCUGGUGCAGGUGGCACAGCCAGCACGGCUGUGCGUGCAGGGGACCGGCGGAGCCCCGUGUGUUCACCCUGGGCCCGUUUGUGCUGCGGCUGUUUUGCUCCAGAAGUCAGACCUCCACGCAUGUGAUACUCUCCAGGCAAAGCAGAUGUUUCCAAGUGGAUGCUAAAAAAGCCCAUGACACAGAUGAAAUAGGCCAUGAGAGCUGAAACUCAAAGGGGCAGUUUGAUUUCACACCCUAAUUUGCACGUUCAAGCAUUUAAUUUCUGCUCAGAGCCUCUGGGCACGCACAGCAGGAGGUUUACCCAAAUUCAACACUCAUAAAGCUUUGGGAGCCUGGAAAAUGCUACCUCUUGGUGGCUCCCGAAAUCACAAGUUUUAGCACAGAAAACUCCCGCUGCUCGUUCCUGCUGGUUUCCCACGGCCCGGUGCAGCGUGGCUGCGUCCCGCGGGCUCCUGAUCACCGCUGUCCCUGUGCCCUGCAGCUGGAGGUUACCUUCCCUGCCAGCUGCUGAGUCGCAGAGGAUGCGUUUUGC